rnacentral:lncRNA from 1 species
GUAUGGGGGACUUUUGGGAUAGCAUUGGAAAUGUAAAUGAAGAAAAUACCUAAAUAUAUAUAUAUAUAUAUAUAUAUAUAUAUAUAUAUAUAUAUAUAUACAUAUAUAUGCCUAUUUCAUUGUUUCCUGAAUUUCAGAAGAUACAAGAAAGAUGGUGUGGAACUAAGAAACAGAUGUUCAACAUUGGGCACAGUAUCGCUUCCUGCAAUCCUAGCACCUGAAUCUGGGGCAGGGGGAUCAUGAUUUCUAGACCAGCCCUGACUAUGGAGAAUAGCAAGCUCAGCCAGUGUACCCAGUUAGCCUCAGUGGAAGCUAACCUAGACAUCUUGGGUAGUUUAAUCUAGAAGUACCCAACCUAAGAGAUGUGGAGAUCAAUGGGGUUUCUCUACUUUAAGAUGAAAACCUACAGCUGGGCAGUGGUGGCCCACGCCUUUAAUCCCAGCACUUGGGAGGCAAAGGCAGGUGGACCUCUGAGUUCAAGGCCAGCCUGGUCUACAGAGUGAGUUCCAGGAGUUAAGGAACCCAAACAAGUCUGUCUUUCCCUCGUGGACUCGGGAAGAUAUACCUUGCGUGCAUAUAUAAGUGAAAAUUAUGACACCAGGCCAGAGUAAGGACUCUGAAGUGAAAUAAGGCAGAGAAAGGGGAGAAAAACAGGUGACUAGGGUGGUUAUCAACCAAUGACAGCAAUGCCUACACACAAGUAGCAAGCUCAGUACAGUGGGAGGGGACCAAAUGGGAUUGCAGAGAAGGGAUUAUUUGUGGACAAUCAGGCACUAAGAGUGAGACCCAAGAAGGACUGACCAGGCCAGAGGGAGCAGCCAGGCCCAGGAGCCAGCAGACUUCUCCUGGGAGGGACAAAGACAGUUACUAACUCAGGAAGAGUAUGGCUGCCUCCCAGUAAAACUUCACCUCCAGGCACUGAGGUUUCAAUUCUGUGUCCCUUUUACUUGUCACAAAAUAUUCUUUGGGUAUUGUUUCCACGUGUUUAGAAAUGUGACCAGACAUCCUUCGCUGGUAGUUUGUUAAACUAUGAAAGCAGAUAAGCCAGACUGAGUCUACAGGCUACAGCCAGUUCCUCAUCUAUCAACCAGACCAGUGGAGGAACUGUGGAUUUUAACUUACUGGGCAGAUCUGAGCAGACUUUUGGGUUUGUUAAUUUGUUUUGUUUUUCUGGGGUUUUUGGUUGGUUGGUUUUUGGUGUUUGUUUGUUCAAGACAGAGUUUCUCUAUGUAUCCCUGGCUGUCCUGGAACUUGCUCUGUAGACCAAGCUAGCCUCAAACUCAAGAUCUACCUGCCUCUGCCUCCCAAGUGCUGGGAUUAAAGGUAUUUGUCACCACUGCCCAGUUUGAGCAGACUUUUGUAAAUACCAAGUACAUUUUUCAAAGGCUCAGAGGUUAAGAACGAUUGUUCUUGCAGAGGACCCAGGUUCAGUUCCCAGCACCUACAUGGUUGCUUACAACUAUUUGUACCUCCAGUACCAGGGAAUCUGAUAUUUCUCUUCUGAUCUCCAUGGAUACCAGGCAUGCAUACGGUGCACAGACAGAUAUACAAGCAAAACACUCAUACACAUAAAAUAAAUAAAUCAGUAAAAAAUAAAUAUAAAGACCAUCCUGGUUAGGUAUGUAAUCCCAGCAUUUUAGAGGCUGGAACAGGGGGAUCACCAAGAGUUCUAGGCCAGCCUGAUCUGUGUAUUGAAACCUUGUCACCACCACACAAAACCUACCUUGAUGCUCAGAGGGAGAAGGGACUGGUUUAGCCAAGGGGGUGCAGUGAGUGUUCCAACCUACAGAGUGCAGUGUGUUCCAACCUACAGUCCCUACUAGAACCCUCAACAAACUGACUUUUCUCCUCUUUCUGUGCUUUAGGAAUGGGAAAUGAAGAAGACCUAGAGAGGGUGAGAAGUCCACCCUGAAGCAGCAUCAGCUUGUCCGUUCUAAGGAGGGAAUGCUUUCUUCGCCAAGACAUCAGGAAAAGACUGGGGCACCCAAAAGACCAGCUUGACUGUCCGCAUGGUUUUAAGGAUUGUGGGAAGGGAGGCGUGGAAGCGUCCUUCUGGCUAGACAAAGGGUGGAGCUGGGAGUGUCCGGAGACAGAAUCGUCCACAGUUGUAAAGGUUUUAUUAGUUAUCUUUGCCUUCUGAUGCAAUGAACGCACGUAAGCCAUUCCAUCC